ACUUAACAUAAAAUAUUAUGUGUAAAUGUGUUAACCUUUCCUUCUCUCUCUCUCUCUCACCCAGACUGAGACUGUAAUGUAAUCCAGCAGUUGCCGCCGACAGACAGAGCCCAUUCCUUUCUUCCAUGGUCGCCGACGAGAGCUCUUUUCCCAUUUCCCAUGAUUGAAGUAUUGUUGAGAUUUUGAUAAUGGAAGCACUCCCUCUCUCACUCUAAAUCUCUAACCUCUAUGGGCUAUGGCGUUCCUACUACAACGUUUUCAAAUAUAUUGAUCGGACUGGCUCAAUAUAUUACGAGAAUGAUCAGGAUCGAUAGCUCUCAUGAACUGGCUCGACCUUGAACAAACACAAGACAUAACGCCAAAAACCGAUCCAACAUGAACGGUGCAAAGCCAAAGAGGAGCAGAAGGGGCGAUGGUUGUUGUGAACCUUUGCCACAGUCCAUUGGUGCGAAGAAGGGGCUGGGGCUGGGGCUGAGGUUGUCUUUCUUGAAGCUGAGGAGCCAAAGCGAAAGCGAAGAUUGUUCUGAACCAUUAUCACAGUCCCAAGGGCAAAUAGGUUAUGCCAUUGUUCCUAUAAUUGCAAGGGGAAUCAUGUUGGUUCCUGAUAAAUUUGUGAUUCUGCACUUGCUUGAUAUUAAGCAGGCAGCUGAAUCCUUAAAUGGGAUAAGAAUGGAAAUGACUGAUGCUGCCUUUCCUCUUCUGAAAGGGCUGGUUGCUACCACAGACGUUGUUGAAGCGUGUAAAGAUGUCAAUAUUGCCGUUAUGCUUGGUGGAUACCCACGGAAGGAAAUUACGUUAAGGAAGGAUAUGUUGUCUACAAGUGUGUCUAUUUACAAGGCUCAAGCUUUGGCCUUGGAGGAGCAUGAUGUUGCAGAUUGCAAGGUGACCAUAUAAAUGCACUUGGAGGAGCAUACUGUUGAUGCCAAAACAAUUCAAAUCACAAGUGACAAUUCAAGAAGAGAUGAACAUCAACAGAAGAACCAUUAGUGAAAUAACAAAAAUUAUGUGGGACUCUGAUAAUAAGAUCUUCAAGAAUCGUCAGAGGUACUUGGGGAAACUUUAUACGUCCUAUCAGAUAAAGAGAUCAUGCAAAUAUUAAAUGUUAGAGCAGAAAAUCUUAGUCUCCUUCUUGUUAUAUUUUAUUAAUAUCCUUAAAAAGACUACUAAUGGAUUGAUUCUGCAUGUGUAUAUAGCGAGUCGGCCCAAUGGAAUCGCUGCAUUAAUUUUGCAAAGCUCUUGUAUAUUGUGUCACGUCAUCAAUCACAUCACUUUACCUUUUUUUGUUAUAUCAGAAAUGAAGAAAUAAUAAUAUAUAAGGGAAAAAAUGCUCAUUCAUUCUAAACUUUUAACUAUUGGCCGAAAUACCACCUCAACUUUUAUAUUAGCUAAUUUACUCAAACUAUUCACAAUUAUCAAAUCAAUACUUCAGUUAUUCUCACGUUAAAACACUGAUAGAAUAAGCAUGUGAGACUCACGUGACUUUUAAGAACAAACUUAAUCACCCAAAAGUCCCAAACUUAGCAAAAAGAAGAGGGAAGAGAAACAGGUCCAACGGUGAAAGAGAGAGAGGCGAUCAGUUCAGAGCCACCGCGAGCUUUUCCUUGCCGUCUCGUCGCCCAUGUCUCGGUGGCGUCUUGGUGGUUCCGUCGCACCGUUCAAUCUUGGGAACUUUUGCUGCAGCUGUCUCAGGUGAUCAAAUUGAAGACUGAAGAAUGUAAUAUAUGUAACUACUUUGAGAGGCAUGACAUUGAAUUCACACCAACGAGAAAAAAGUGUAAUUACUAGACUAUUGGACACUAACUGAAGGCUGAAGAAUGAAGCUGCAAUGCAUAAGAGAAUCUCUAAGUGGCUUUGGUGAUUAUUAGUGGUUUCUUAAAUCAAUAGUGGGAUUGUGAUAGCCUUUUGCAUGGGGUCCAAGUGUUAACAUUGAAAGUCAUCUUUAUUUGCAGUGACUAUAUAUGUAGGAGUACUAAAACAAAAGGACUUGUAAUGUAAUGUAUCUAUAUGUGAAAAUUAGAUGUAAUGUAAUAUAAAAAAUGUUCACAAAUAUGUAAUGUUCAACUUAUGAAAUUAAUGCCAGUAUUUUUUCUCAAGUUUA